rnacentral:rRNA from 1 species
AGUGGCGGACGGCUGAGUAACACGUGGAUAACCUACCCUGGUGUGGGGGACAACGGGCCGAAAGGUUCGCUAAUCCCGCAUACGGUCCCUUCGGGGAAGAAAGCCUUCGGGCGCACUAGGAUGGGUCUGCGGCCCAUCAGGUAGUUGGGGAGGUAACGGCUCCCCAAGCCGAUGACGGGUACCUGGUCUGAGAGGACGAUCAGGCAGAUUGGGACUGAGACACGGCCCAGACUCCUACGGGAGGCAGCAGCAAGGAAUUUUCCGCAAUGGGGGCAACCCUGACGGAGCAAUACCGCGUGCGGGAGGACGGCCUGUGGGUUGUAAACCGCUUUUCUCAGGGAAGAAGACCUGACGGUACCUGAGGAAUCAGCAUCGGCUAACUCCGUGCCGGCAGCCGCGGUAAUACGGAGGAUGCAAGCGUUAUCCGGAAUUAUUGGGCGUAAAGCGUCCGUAGGUGGUUAAUCAAGUCUGCUGUUAAAGAGCGGAGCUCAACUCCGUUUAAGCGGUGGAAACUGGUUGACUAGAGAGUGGUAGGGGUAGAGGGAAUUCCCAGUGUAGCGGUGAAAUGCGUAGAUAUUGGGAAGAACACCGGUGGCGAAAGCGCUCUACUGGGCCACAUCUGACACUGAUGGACGAAAGCUAGGGGAGCGAAAGGGAUUAGAUACCCC